GAGUUUGAUCUUGGCUCGGAGCGAACGCUGGCGGCAGGCCUAACACAUGCAAGUCGAACGAUCCUUCGGGAUAGUGGCGGACGGGUGAGUAACACGUGGGAACGUGCCCUUUGGUUCGGAACAACUCAGGGAAACUUGAGCUAAUACCGGAUGUGCCCUUCGGGGAAAGAUUUAUCGCCAUUGGAGCGGCCCGCGUCUGAUUAGCUAGUUGGUGAGGUAACGGCUCACCAAGGCGACGAUCAGUAGCUGUCUGAGAGGAUGAUCAGCCACACUGGGACUGAGACACGGCCCGAACUCCUACGGGAGGCAGCAGUGGGGAAUAUUGGACAAUGGGGGCAACCCUGAUCCAGCCAUGCCGCGUGCGUGAAGAAGGCCUUAGGGUUGUAAAGCGCUUUUUGCUAGGGAUGAUAA
rnacentral:rRNA from 1 species